UACGAAGGGGGCUAGCGUUGUUCGGAAUUACUGGGCGUAAAGCGCACGUAGGCGGGUUGUUAAGUCAGGGGUGAAAUCCUGGAGCUCAACUCCAGAACUGCCUUUGAUACUGGCAACCUAGAGACUGGAAGAGGUUAGUGGAAUUCCUGGUGUAGCGGUGAAAUGCGCAGAUAUCAGGAAGAACACCUAUGGCGAAGGCAGCUCUCUGGGACGGUACUGACGCUGAGACGCGAAAGCGUGGGGAGCGAACAGG
rnacentral:rRNA from 1 species